UUCAGUUACCUGCAUCUUCAAUACUCUAAUAUAUAAUCACAUAAUCAUAUUUAAAACACAACGCUUUUAUCCACAUUUUACAUACAGGUGGUACCGUCUGGGUGCAUCCCAUAGGACACCCUAUUCCCUACAUAGACCACGAGGUAGGGAAUAGGGGGGCAUUUAGACCACUAGGUAGGGAAUAGGGGGGCAUUUUGACCACUAGGUAGGGAAUAGGGGGCCAGUUUGACCACUAGGUAGGGAAUAGGGGGCCAGUUUGACCACUAGGUAGGGAAUAGGGGGCAUUUUGACCACUAGGUAGGGAAUAGGGGGCCAUUUUGACCACUAGGUAGGGAAUAGGGGGCCAUUUAGACCACUAGGUAGGGAAUAGGGGGCCAGUUUGACCACUAGGUAGGGAAUAGGGGGCCAUUUAGACCACUAGGUAGGGAAUAGGGGGCCAUUUAGACCACUAGGUAGGGAAUAGGGGGGCAUUUAGACCACUAGGUAGGGAAUAGGGGGCCAGUUUGACCACUAGGUAGGGAAUAGGGGGCCAGUUUGACCACUAGGUAGGGAAUAGGGGGCCAUUUAGACCACUAGGUAGGGAAUAGGGGGCCAGUUUGACAACUAGGUAGGGAAUAGGGGGCCAUUUUGACCACUAGGUAGGGAAUAGGGGGGCAUUUAGACCACUAGGUAGGGAAUAGGGGGCCAUUUAGACCACUAGGUAGGGAAUAGGGGGCCAGUUUGACCACUAGGUAGGGAAUAGGGGGCCAGUUUGACCACUAGGUAGGGAAUAGGGGGCCAUUUAGACCACUAGGUAGGGAAUAGGGGGCCAGUUUGACAACUAGGUAGGGAAUAGGGGGCCAUUUUGACCACUAGGUAGGGAAUAGGGGGCCAUUUUGACCACUAGGUAGGGAAUAGGGGGCCAUUUAGACCACUAGGUAGGGAAUAGGGGGCCAGUUUGACCACUAGGUAGGGAAUAGGGGGGCAUUUAGACCACUAGGUAGGGAAUAGGGGGCCAUUUAGACCACUAGGUAGGGAAUAGGGGGCCAUUUAGACCACUAGGUAGGGAAUAGGGGGCCAGUUUGACCACUAGGUAGGGAAUAGGGGGCCAUUUAGACCACUAGGUAGGGAAUAGGGGGCCAGUUUGACCACUAGGUAGGGAAUAGGGGGCCAUUUUGACAACUAGGUAGGGAAUAGGGGGCCAGUUUGACCACUAGGUAGGGAAUAGGGGGCCAGUUUGACCACUAGGUAGGGAAUAGGGGGCCAGUUUGACCACUAGGUAGGGAAUAGGGGGCCAUUUAGACCACUAGGUAGGGAAUAGGGGGCCAUUUAGACCACUAGGUAGGGAAUA